CAGGAUGUGGUGGAGCCUGGUAACACGCUUCGUUCGGGACGAAGAAACCGCAGGUUCAAAUCCUGCCAUCCUGA
rnacentral:tRNA from 1 species